rnacentral:sRNA from 1 species
UUUUAGCCCCGAUAGAGGAGGAAAUCCUUGUGUGCCGGGGUUCGGCACACAAGAUUGCAACGGAUAGCGGGACAAUGU